GCUACAGGCUUAACACAUGCAAGUCGAGGGGCAUCAGGAAGAAAGCUUGCUUUCUUUGCUGGCGACCGGCGCACGGGUGAGUAACACGUAUCCAACCUGCCCUUUACUCGGGGAUAGCCUUUCGAAAGAAAGAUUAAUACCCGAUAGCAUAAUGAUUCCGCAUGGUUUCAUUAUUAAAGGAUUCCGGUAAAGGAUGGGGAUGCGUUCCAUUAGGUUGUUGGUGAGGUAACGGCUCACCAAGCCUUCGAUGGAUAGGGGUUCUGAGAGGAAGGUCCCCCACAUUGGAACUGAGACACGGUCCAAACUCCUACGGGAGGCAGCAGUGAGGAAUAUUGGUCAAUGGGCGCUAGCCUGAACCAGCCAAGUAGCGUGAAGGAUGAAGGCUCUAUGGGUCGUAAACUUCUUUUAUAUAAGAAUAAAGUGCAGUAUGUAUACUGUUUUGUAUGUAUUAUAUGAAUAAGGAUCGGCUAACUCCGUGCCAGCAGCCGCGGUAAUACGGAGGAUCCGAGCGUUAUCCGGAUUUAUUGGGUUUAAAGGGAGCGUAGGUGGACUGGUAAGUCAGUUGUGAAAGUUUGCGGCUCAACCGUAAAAUUGCAGUUGAUACUGUCAGUCUUGAGUACAGUAGAGGUGGGCGGAAUUCGUGGUGUAGCGGUGAAAUGCUUAGAUAUCACGAAGAACUCCGAUUGCGAAGGCAGCUCACUGGACUGCAACUGACACUGAUGCUCGAAAGUGUGGGUAUCAAACAGGAUUAGAUACCCUGGUAGUCCACACAGUAAACGAUGAAUACUCGCUGUUUGCGAUAUACAGUAAGCGGCCAAGCGAAAGCAUUAAGUAUUCCACCUGGGGAGUACGCCGGCAACGGUGAAACUCAAAGGAAUUGACGGGGGCCCGCACAAGCGGAGGAACAUGUGGUUUAAUUCGAUGAUACGCGAGGAACCUUACCCGGGCUUAAAUUGCAGUGGAAUGAUGUGGAAACAUGUCAGUGAGCAAUCACCGCUGUGAAGGUGCUGCAUGGUUGUCGUCAGCUCGUGCCAUGAGGUGUCGGCUUAAGUGCCAUAACGAGCGCAACCCUUAUCUUCAGUUACUAACAGGUCAUGCUGAGGACUCUGGAGAGACUGCCGUCGUAAGAUGUGAGGAAGGUGGGGAUGACGUCAAAUCAGCACGGCCCUUACGUCCGGGGCUACACACGUGUUACAAUGGGGGGUACAGAAGGCAGCUAGCGGGUGACCGUAUGCUAAUCCCAAAAUCCUCUCUCAGUUCGGAUCGAAGUCUGCAACCCGACUUCGUGAAGCUGGAUUCGCUAGUAAUCGCGCAUCAGCCACGGCGCGGUGAAUACGUUCCCGGGCCUUGUACACACCGCCCGUCAAGCCAUGGGAGCCGGGGGUACCUGAAGUACGUAACCGCAAGGAUCGUCCUAGGGUAAAACUGGUGACUGGGGCUAAGUCAUAAC
rnacentral:rRNA from 1 species